rnacentral:rRNA from 1 species
UACGGGAGUGGCAAGCGUUAUCCGGAAUUAUUGGGCGUAAAGAGUCUGUAGGCGGCUAGAUUAGUCUUUUGUUAAAGCACCGAGCUUAACUCGGGAAAGGCAAAAGAAACGGUCUAGCUAGAGAGUGUAAGAGGUUAGUGGAACUAAUAGUGUAGGGGUGAAAUCCGUUGAUAUUAUUAGGAACACCAAAAGCGAAGGCAACUAACUGGUGCAUUUCUGACGCUGAGAGACGAAACCCUGGGUAGCGAAUGGG